rnacentral:rRNA from 1 species
UACGAAGGGGGCUAGCGUUGCUCGGAAUCACUGGGCGUAAAGGGCGCGUAGGCGGCCGAUCAAGUCAGGGGUGAAAGCCUGUGGCUCAACCACAGAAUUGCCUUUGAUACUGUUUGGCUCGAGACCGGAAGAGGUUGGUGGAACUGCGAGUGUAGAGGUGAAAUUCGUAGAUAUUCGCAAGAACACCAGUGGCGAAGGCGGCCAACUGGUCCGGUUCUGACGCUGAGGCGCGAAAGCUAGGGGAGCAAAC